rnacentral:rRNA from 1 species
UACGUAGGAGACGAGCGUUGUCCGGAAUCACUGGGCGUAAAGCGCGUGUAGGCGGAUCGGCAAGUCUGCUGUGAAAGCUCCUGGCUUAACCGGGAGUGGUCGGUGGAACUGCCAGUCUGGAGGACGGUAGAGGUAGGUAGAAUUCCCGGUGUAGUGGUGAAAUGCGUAGAGAUCGGGAGGAAUACCUGUGGCGAAGGCGGCCUACUGGGCCGGACCUGACGCUGAGACGCGAAGGCGUGGGGAGCGAACGGG